GAUGAACGCUAGCGGCAGGCUUAAUACAUGCAAGUCGAGGGGCAGCACGGGUAGCAAUACCUGGUGGCGACCGGCAAACGGGUGCGGAACACGUACGCAACCUUCCCAUAACUGGUGAAUAGCCUUCCGAAAGGGAGAUUAAUACACCGUAACAUAACGAAAAGGCAUCUUUUGUAUUAUAGGCUUCGGCCGGUUUUGGAUGGGCGUGCGCCUGAUUAGGUAGUUGGCGGGGUAAACGGCCCACAAGCCUGCGAUCAGUAACUGGUGUGAGAGCACGACCAGUCACACGGGCACUGAGACACGGGCCCGACUCCUACGGGAGGCAGCAGUAAGGAAUAUUGGUCAAUGGACGAAAGUCUGAACCAGCCAUGCCGCGUGAAGGAUUAAGGCCCUCUGGGUUGUAAACUUCUUUUAUCUGGGACGAAAAAAGGGCUUUCUAGCUCACUUGACGGUACCAGAGGAAUAAGCACCGGCUAACUCCGUGCCAGCAGCCGCGGUAAU
rnacentral:rRNA from 1 species